CCUACGGGGGGCUGCAGUGGGGGAUAUUGCACAAUGGGGGAAACCCUGAUGCAGCGACGCCGCGUGGGCGAUGGAGUACUUCGGCAUGUAAAGCCCUAUCAGCAGGGAAGAAAAUGACGGUACCUGAUUAAGAAGCCCCGGCUAAAUACGUGCCAGCAGCCGCGGUAAUACGUAGGGGGCAAGCGUUAUCCGGAUUUACUGGGUGUAAAGGGAGCGUAGGCGGCAGGACAAGCCUGCAGUGAAAUGCCGGGGCUCAACCCCGGGACUGCAUUGGAAACUGUGCGGCUGGAGUGCAGGAGAGGUAAGUGGAAUUCCUAGUGUAGCGGUGAAAUGCGUAGAUAUUAGGAGGAACACCAGUGGCGAAGGCGGCUUACUGGACUGUGACUGACGUUGAGGCUCGAAAGCGUGGGGAGCAAACAGGAUUAGAUACCCGGGUAGUC
rnacentral:rRNA from 1 species